rnacentral:rRNA from 1 species
GAUGAACGCUGGCGGCGUGCCUAAUACAUGCAAGUCGAGCGAAGAGACGAGGUGCUUGCUCCUCUGACGAUAGCAGCGGACGGGUGAGUAACACGUGGAGAACCUGCCUUUAAGCCGGGGACAACUUCUGGAAACGAGUGCUAAUACCGCAUAACAUCUUUAAACGUAUGGUUUAAGAGUGAAAGACGCAUUUGCUUUCACCAAUAGAUGUAUCCGGGCCUCAUUGGCAAGUUGGUAAGGUAACGGCUUACCAAGGGAACGAAGCGUAGCCGACCUGAGAGGGUGAUCGGCCACACUGGAACUGAGACACGGUCCAGACUCCUACGGGAGGCAGCAGUAGGGAAUCUUCCGCAAUGGGCGAAAGCCUGACGGAGCAACGCCGCGUGAGUGAUGAAGGUCUUCGGAUCGUAAAACUCUGUUAUUAGGGAAGAACAAAUGUGUAAGUAACUAUGCACGUCUUGACGGUACCUAAUCAGAAAGCCACGGCUAACUACGUG